rnacentral:rRNA from 1 species
UACAGAGGGUGCGAGCGUUAAUCGGAAUUACUGGGCGUAAAGCGUGCGUAGGUGGUUUGUUAAGUCUGCUGUGAAAGCCCUGGGCUCAACCCUGGGAUGCCGGUGGAUACUGUCGGGCUCGAGUCCGGAAGAGGAGUGUGGAAUUCCUGGUGUAGCGGUGAAAUGCGCAGAUAUCAGGAGGAACACCAAUGGCGAAGGCAGCACUCUGGGACGUGACUGACGCUGAGACGCGAAAGCGUGGGGAGCAAACAGG